UCCACUUGGCUUCAGGCAUCUCCAGGAUUCCCACCAACCUCCAGCCAUGAAGAUCUUCUGCCUCCUCUCUCUUGCCGUCCUCUUCUUGAUGCUGCUGGCUCCAGAUUUCACUGAAGCCCAACACAGUGACCAGACAUGUCGUGUUAAUAGGGGGAUAUGCAGGGCUCACGGCUGCCGCAUAACCGAAUACCCAAAAGGACGUUGCUCGGGAAGGAGACGUUGCUGCGUUAAACUUGGAACUCUCACGGACAAAUAGAGCAACGUCUCUGACGAAGGAGCAUCUUCCCCCCGCCCUCUGUGGAAACCCCUGUGCUGCCUCGACUGCAUCACCCAGCUCAUCUCGUGAAGAAAAUGCUUUGCCUCGCGCCACUUCAUGCCCAUUUACUCUUGAGUAAGCCCUUCUGUGCUCAGUGGGACUGACUCCUUCCUAACUGGGCUUAGGGCUGGAGCCUAGAUUUGGUUUGCUUGCUCAAAUGCUUUCGUUUUGCCUUUUAAUAAAUGCAAGCAUUGAAAGUGCCUGUUACCGUUGCAUGGUGU